AUUGAACGCUGGCGGCAUGCUUUACACAUGCAAGUCGAACGGUAACAGGCCUUCGGGUGCUGACGAGUGGCGAACGGGUGAGUAAUGCAUCGGAACGUGCCCAAUCGUGGGGGAUAACGUAGCGAAAGUUACGCUAAUACCGCAUAAGCCCUGAGGGGGAAAGCAGGGGAUCGCAAGACCUUGCGCUGAUUGAGCGGCCGAUAUCAGAUUAGCUAGUUGGUGGGGUAAAGGCCUACCAAGGCUACGGAUCUGUAGCGGGUCUGAGAGGAUGAUCCGCCACACUGGGACUGAGACACGGCCCAGACUCCUACGGGAGGCAGCAGUGGGGAAUAUUGGACAAUGGGCGAAAGCCUGAUCCAGCAAUGCCGCGUGAGUGAUGAAGGCCUUAGGGUUGUAAAGCUCUUUUACCAGGGAUGAUAAUGACAGUACCUGGAGAAUAAGCUCCGGCUAACUCCGUGCCAGCAGCCGCGGUAAUGUAGUCGUG
rnacentral:rRNA from 1 species